rnacentral:rRNA from 1 species
UGCCAGCAGCCGCGGUAAUACGAGGGGUGCAAGCGUUAUUCGGAAUCAUUGGGCGUAAAGGGUGUGUAGGCGGCGUGUUAAGUUUAUUGUUCAAUUCUUCGGCCUAACCGAAGGUAAGCGAUGAAAACUGGCAUGCUAGAGGAUGGAAGAGAGAAGUGGAAUUCUCGGAGUAGCGGUUAAAUGCGUAGAUCUCGAGAGGAACACCGAUGGCGAAGGCAGCUUCUUGGUCCAUUUCUGACGCUGAGACACGAAAGCGUGGGGAGCAAACAGGAUUAGAUA